AUGCAAGGUGACUAUGAUGUCAUCGGCGUGUGGAAGGUCGCCGACCUCGCGCUCGAGUGCAUGGCGCAAACUCCCGCGAAGCGACCGACGAUGACCCGCGUGAUUGCGCAGUUGCUGGAGUGUCUUGAACUCGAGGAGAGCCGCGGCACCAUCUACACCAGCGUCAGUGGCGACACGAACGGCAUCGUCAACACCGCUAGCACCAGCGAUGAUCCCAGCUCAAGUUCUAUUAUGUACGCCACCACCGACCAGCCCGCCUCCGAUGUCGCCCAGAGCAGUGCAGCGCUCAGGAUGGGGCCUGACUAUAGCAGGGCGUCAACGGUGGCCGCCGGUCCUGCAGCACGAUGA
rnacentral:rRNA from 1 species